rnacentral:lncRNA from 1 species
CAUUAAGGUUCUUCGUAUGCCUUAGUGGAAGUUUCUAACCUAUCUCAAGAAAAUGGUAUAGUCUCCCAAUGGAUUCUUCCUGAUGCACCUCAACUUGAUGGGGUGUCGAGAGCAGGAAUUGGACUCUAUUCGAUAUAGUCCGAUCCAUGAUGAGCUUCAUUGAUUUUUUUUAUUUUCUUUAAAAAUAUGUUUAACUUAAUGGAUAGAGUUUCCUCUAAGUGAUGCCAUAUGAGAUGUGGCAUGUUAAAAAAUUUUGGCCCAUGUUAAGUGUUGGCAUACGGAUGAAGUUAGAGGUUAGAUCUAUGUGACUCAUUUAAAAGUAUCCUAAAGAAUUUUAGAAAUACUAAUUUCUUCUUAAGGAUCACAAUUUGAUUGUGGCCUGAUAUGCUAUGUUCUUGGAGAAAUAAUUUGUCUAAGAUGGGAUAGUGGG